GACGAACGCUGGCGGCGUGCUUAACACAUGCAAGUCGAACGGAAAGGCCCUCCUGUGGGGUACUCGUGUGGCGACCGGGUGAGUAAUACGAGAGUAAUCUACCCUUGACUUUGGGAUAAUAUCAGGAAAAUGGGGCUAAUACCGGAUAGGAGCUCCUGCUGCAUGGUGGGGGGUGGAAAGUUUCGGCGGUGGGGGAUGGACUCGCGGCGUUUCAGCGUGUUGGUGGGGUAGUGGCUCAUAAAGGCUUUGACGGGUGGCGGCCCUGCGAGGGGGAUCGGCCACAAUGGGACAGAGAGACGGCCCAGAGACCUACGGGAGGCAGCAGUGGGGGGAAUAGCGCAAUAGGCGGAGGCCUGAGACGGCGACGCCGCGUGCGGGAUAACGGCCUUCGGGUGGUAUACCGCGUUCUCCUGUGAGGAAGCGUGUGUGACAGUAAAAUGUGAAGAAGCACCGGGUAACUACGUG
rnacentral:rRNA from 1 species